rnacentral:rRNA from 1 species
AUUGAACGCUGGCGGCAUGCUUUACACAUGCAAGUCGAACGGUAACAGGGUGCUUGCACCGCUGACGAGUGGCGAACGGGUGAGUAAUGCGUCGGAACGUGCCGAGUAGUGGGGGAUAACGCAGCGAAAGUUGUGCUAAUACCGCAUACGUACUGAGGUAGAAAGUGGGGGACCUUCGGGCCUCACGCUAUUCGAGCGGCCGACGUCUGAUUAGCUAGUAGGUGAGGUAAAGGCUCACCUAGGCGACGAUCAGUAGCGGGUCUGAGAGGAUGAUCCGCCACACUGGGACUGAGACACGGCCCAGACUCCUACGGGAGGCAGCAGUGGGGAAUUUUGGACAAUGGGCGAAAGCCUGAUCCAGCCAUGCCGCGUGUGUGAAGAAGGUCUUCGGAUUGUAAAGCACUUUAAGUUGGGAGGAAGGGCAGUAAGCUAAUACCUUGCUGCUUUGACGUUACCAACAGAAUAAGCACCGGCUAACUUCGUGCCAGCAGCCGCAGUAACAC